rnacentral:rRNA from 1 species
GAUGAACGCUGGCGGCGUGCCUAAUACAUGCAAGUCGAGCGAACGGACGAGAAGCUUGCUUCUCUGAUGUUAGCGGCGGACGGGUGAGUAACACGUGGAUAACCUACCUAUAAGACUGGGAUAACUUCGGGAAACCGGAGCUAAUACCGGAUAAUAUUUUGAACCGCAUGGUUCAAAAGUGAAAGACGGUCUUGCUGUCACUUAUAGAUGGAUCCGCGCUGCAUUAGCUAGUUGGUAAGGUAACGGCUUACCAAGGCAACGAUGCAUAGCCGACCUGAGAGGGUGAUCGGCCACACUGGAACUGGGACACGGUCCAGACGCCUACGGGAGGCAGCAGUAGGGAAUCUUCCGCAAUGGGCGAAAGCCUGACGGAGCAACGCCGCGUGAGUGAUGAAGGUCUUCGGAUCGUAAAACUCUGUUAUUAGGGAAGAACAGAUGUGUAAGUAACUGUGCACAUCUUGACGGUACCUAAUCAGAAAGCCACGGCUAACUACGUG